rnacentral:rRNA from 1 species
AUACGUAGGGGGCGAGCGUUGUCCGGAAUGAUUGGGCGUAAAGGGCGCGUAGGCGGCCCGGUAAGUCUGGAGUGAAAGUCCUGUUUUUAAGAUGGGAAUUGCUUUGUAUACUGUCGGGCUUGAGUGCAGGAGAGGUAAGUGGAAUUCCCAGUGUAGCGGUGAAAUGCGUAGGGAUUGGGAGGAACACCAGUGGCGAAGGCGACUUACUGGACUGUAACUGACGCUGAGGCGCGAAAGUGUGGGGAGCAAACAGGAUUAGAUACCCUGGUAGUCCACACUGUAAACGAUGAAUGCUAGGUGUAGGGGGUAUCGACCCCUUCUGUGCCGCAG